UUCGGAAUGUAUGUCGCUAACCAGGACAUCAUCUCCACCUCAAAACUGUCUGAGCCAGGAUGCCAUCUAAGCUUGUGAAUAUAGGGGCUAACGAACCAAUGAAGGGCAGCAGUUGUUGAGGCACUCAAGAAUAUCACUGAAGACGCAACUGCACCCUUCAAGAUGACGUUCAUAUCUGGAGAUGUCAUAAAGGUUAUGACAGGACCCAAGGAUACAGAGAGACAGCAUGUUGAAAGAGACAAUAGUUUUACUUUCUUGAUGGUCGAUGAGAUCGGACCAUAAUAAACCACCCCAGUCUCUUUCUCAUCCUCUCCAGCUUCUUUCCCAUUGCGUGGUCCAAUGCUGAUCCUACUUUCAUCUUCUGUUGUCCUAGCUUGAGAUGCCCAUCUUUUCUGAGAAGCCGCAAUCUGGAUAGGACUACUAAAGUCACGUUUGGCACUCCAAAUGUGAGACCUUGUGCCAAACCUACAAGGAUGGUAGCCUGAGAAGACGGUACUUGUGGAUGCGAGGGUUUUGGUUUGAGAUCGAAGCAAGUGGAGAAGGGCCGCUCUAGCCAUUGCUCUUUUCAGUUUCAG
rnacentral:misc_RNA from 1 species